rnacentral:lncRNA from 1 species
GAGAACGGGGUUCACAACGACGAUCGCGAGUUAUCGUCAGGCGACUGGGGUUCAAAUGGAGAACGGGGUUUAUUGUUUGGCAGCAAGUUUGACAUGAAGUUUUCGGGGUUCAAAUGCGGUGAUCAGGGAUCAUCCGCGUGGAAGAGAAAAUAUUAGUUUUGGGGUUCAAGAAAAGAAAAAAAAUCAAAGAAGUACCGAGGUUCAAAAAAAAAAUCAUCCUCAGAAGGUUG